rnacentral:tRNA from 1 species
GGAGAAAUAGCUCAACUGGUAGAGCAUCAGGCUUGCAUACUUGAGGUUCCAGUUUGAUCCCUGGUUCCACCU